GAAGCGGCAACAGCUCAAAUUUGAAAUCUGGCGCAAGCCCGAGUUGUAAUUUGCAGAGGAUGCUUCGAGGCAGCGGCCGGUCUAAGUUCCUUGGAACAGGACGUCAUAGAGGGUGAGAAUCCCGUAUGUGAUUGGCUCGCACCUCACACGUAGCUCCUUCGACGAGUCGAGUUGUUUGGGAAUGCAGCUCUAAAUGGGAGGUAAAUGUCUUCUAAAGCUAAAUACCGGCCAGAGACCGAUAGCGCACAAGUAGAGUGAUCGAAAGAUGAAAAGCACUUUGGAAAGAGAGUUAAAAAGCACGUGAAAUUGUUGAAAGGGAAGGGCAUGCAACCAGACUUGUCGGCGGUGUUCCGCCGGUCUUCUGACCGGUCUACUCGCCGCUGGCAGGCCAACAUCGUCUGGGUGCGCCGGAUAAAGGUGACGGGAAUGUGGCCCCUCGGGGUGUUAUAGCUCGUCACACAAUACGGCGCCGCCCGGGCGAGGUCCGCGCUUCGGCUAGGAUGUUGGCGUAAUGGUUGUCUGCCGCCCGUCUUGAAACACGGACCAAGGAGUCUAACAUCUAUGCGAGUGUUCGGGUGUCAAACCCCUACGCGUAAUGAAAGUGAACGGAGGUGGGAAGCGCAAGCUGCACCAUCGACCGAUCCUGAUGUCUUCGGAUGGAUUUGAGUAAGAGCAUAGCUGUUGGGACCCGAAAGAUGGUGAACUAUGCCUGAAUAGGGUGAAGCCAGAGGAAACUCUGGUGGA
rnacentral:rRNA from 1 species